rnacentral:tRNA from 1 species
AGUGAGAUGGCUGAUUGAAAGUGAUAGAUUGUAAAUCUAUUUAUGAAUGGGAAAAUUCUCUUACUA